rnacentral:rRNA from 1 species
AGAGUUUGAUCAUGGCUCAGGAUGAACGCUAGCGAUAGGCCUAACACAUGCAAGUCGAGGGGCAGCACAUGAAGUAGCAAUACGGAUGGUGGCGACCGGCGCACGGGUGAGUAACGCGUAUGCAACCUGCCUACAACAGGGGGAUAACCCGUUGAAAGACGGACUAAUACCUCAUAAUACAGGGGUUCCGCAUGGGAAUAUUUGUUAAAGAUUAAUCGGUUGUAGAUGGGCAUGCGUUCCAUUAGCUGGUUGGAGAGGUAACUGCUCACCAAGGCAACGAUGGAUAGGGGAACUGAGAGGUUUAUCCCCCACACUGGUACUGAGACACGGACCAGACUCCUACGGGAGGCAGCAGUGAGGAAUAUUGGUCAAUGGACGCAAGUCUGAACCAGCCACGUCGCGUGCAGGAAGACGGCCCUACGGGUUGUAAACUUCUUUUGUAAGGGAAUAAAGUGAGUCACGAGUGACUUUUUGCAUGUACCUUACGAAUAACGAUCGGCUAACUCCGUGCCACCAGCCGCGGUAAUACGGAGGAUCCGAGCGUUAUCCGGAUUUAUUGGGUCUAAAGGGUGCGCAGGCGGGAGAUUAAGUCGGCGGUGAAAUUUUGCAGCUCAACUGUAAAAGUGCCUUCGAAACUGGUAUCCUUGAGUGUGGAUGAAGUAGGCGGAAUUUGUGGUGUAGCGGUGAAAUGCAUAGAUAUCACGAGGAACUCCGAUUGCGCAGGCAGCUUACUAAGCCAUAACUGACGCUCAGGCACGAAGGCGUGGGGAUCAAACAGGA